GACGAACGCUGGCGGCGUGCUUAACACAUGCAAGUCGAACGGAAAGGCCCUGCUUUUGUGGGGUGCUCGAGUGGCGAACGGGUGAGUAACACGUGAGUAACCUGCCCUUGACUUUGGGAUAACUUCAGGAAACUGGGGCUAAUACCGGAUAGGAGCUCCUGCUGCAUGGUGGGGGUUGGAAAGUUUCGGCGGUUGGGGAUGGACUCGCGGCUUAUCAGCUUGUUGGUGGGGUAGUGGCUUACCAAGGCUUUGACGGGUAGCCGGCCUGAGAGGGUGACCGGCCACUUUGGGACUGAGAUACGGCCCAGACUCCUACGGGAGGCAGCAGUGGGGAUUAUUGCACAAUGGGCGGAAGCCUGAUGCAGCAACGCUGCGUGCGGGAUGACGGCCUUCGGGUUGUAACCCGCUUUCGCCUGUGACGAAGCGUGAGUGACGGUAAUGGGUAAAGAAGCACCGGCUAACUACGUG
rnacentral:rRNA from 1 species